rnacentral:lncRNA from 1 species
GCUAAGGCAAGUAUUGGGUCAGCUGCGGAAGCACAGGUGAGAGUAAUGUAGCUGUGUUCCCAGAAGGGGUGGAGCUUGACUCCACCUCCUCUGAGACCUCAUUUAAGGGCUGACCCCUCACUGAGUCAGUGUCUCCUGGAGAUUGCUCUUCAGUGAAGACUGCCCCAGCUUCCUCAGCAAAGGCAUCACCACUGGUGAGUUUCCCUCUUGCUUAUAACCUUUGUACAUUUAUUACCAUCUUUGUUACCAUCUGUAUAGUUACCACCUAGACAAAGGCCAAGGUGGAUGGGGCUUUGGUAAUUUGACCUAGUACUUUAUCCAGUGCUUGGCAGCCCUGCUUGUGUUACAGGAGUUAAUGGUUCUUCAGGAGCCUUCCAACUCAAGCCAUUCUGUGAUUCUAUGAUUCUGUGAGUUGUUGCUCAAAUAGAAAAUAUUUAAACCUUAAUCUUGAUGCUAAAUAAUGCCUUCAUGCUCUGUCCACACGUGCUAAGUGCUACUAGAACAAAAUGUAUGAAGUGUUUUUAAGUUGACUCACAAUUAACCAGUAACUCUGGAGAGCCCUGAAGGUAAAAGUAAAGCAGAAGUGAAAAUAGAAAUUCUUACCCUGGUUAAAUAAGAUAUUAAAAUAACAGUGUACUACUACCUUCAUAGGAGUUAAAAUGCAGAGUAACGCUCCAGGGCUUGAGCUCAUUGUGAAGAAAAGUGGACUAGAAAGAAGGUGCCCCUUUGGGCAGCUCUGAAGCUGCUGACGUGCCAUUAUUACCUGUAUUGAAGAGAAAUAAACCCCAGGCAGUUUUUAUACUGUGAAACAAAACUUCCACAGCAUGAGACACUGCAAGACAAACUUUUUACUUAAGCUAAAGUGCUGGAAUGCCUGAUUUGAAGUGACUGGAAGCAGUAGAUGUUAAUGAAUUCUCAGUGCCUGUUGCAAAGCUCUUGCUCUGUACUUCAGAGUGUUUUCUUUGACCUUGUCCACAGAAACUAUUACCAGAAGAUGUAUUAA